rnacentral:lncRNA from 1 species
UGCUGGUAUUGCUAGCACUGUUGGCAGUUAUUGCUGCUGUGUGCUCCCUGCUGUCAUCGCUCCUAUUAAAUGCUGUGGAGGAAUGUACAGGCCACAGCUUCCCUCUGCCCCGCCGUCUGGGCAACUGCCAGAUCAAAUCAUGACUCUUUUGUUUACGGCUGCAGGACAGUCACACCUGUAGCCACCAAAUGGCGGUCUAUUUUUGUAUAUAAGUUCCUUUAGCUACCUAAAACAGCUUUUAAUGUACAACCUAUGAUUGUAGCAGAACUAAAUUUAAGCAAUAUUUUUGGUCUAAAGUAAACAAUGUUUGAUUUGACUUCGACCAUCAUGGAGAAAAGCAAUCUUGUCUGAACAACAUAAAAAAAAAAAAGAUUGUGUCUGCAGGAACCAGGUGGCUGAUGUGCAGGAGCCCACUGCCAGUCAUGUGCAUCUGAAUGCACCACAGCUCAUGACAUAAUCUGCUCACACCCAUCUAUGAAAUCUAAUAUUGUACUGGUGCUCAGCUCCUGCCGCUCGGAAUGAGCAUGUACAGUAUAAACAGUAUGAGUAUGAAGGGGAAAAUGGAGCCCAUUCAGAGUAACGGAGGGGUGAGUGAUGACUACAGUGUACCAGGAGCUUUUUAAGGCCACCAGCAUGAGGAAUGUGGCGGGAGACGCAACCUGUGGAGGCCGUGUCAUGGCUGGGAGCUUCACACACGUGCAGUACAUAAACACACAUAAACUCACACAGCUGGUAAUUCCAUGCUGAGUGUAUAUGUUAACAUACUGCCAUGAUAGUAAUAAUUCUACGACUAUGGAGACAUUGUAAGAAAAGUCCAAUGCCUUAUAAUAGUAGAAAUAAUGCAUGUGUUCUCUGGCGCACUGACUGCAUUCGCACAUUUACAUGUUGUUUUGUUCAGCUACAGUAACAGGAUGCUUGAAAUGCAUUUUUCUUUCAUCGCUUUUAUAGGAUUAUAGACUAAAGCAACAUGUUCUACUUUUGAAGGAAUCAUUCAGAAAAGAUGGCGUUACUUAGAUAAAGACUGUAUAUACUAUGGAAACUUGGUUCCGCCCCUAUACUGCAGCCUGUCACCAGAGGGUGCUGUUCUCAGAGUGGCUUCACCCAGCGAGGAGGCAGACGGCGUCCAUUCUAUAUACAGUCUAUGUACUUGGACCAUUAAUUGCAUAACUGUUUUGAAGCUGAGGUGACUCAACAACUGGGUCCAAUUAGUGUUUGAGCGCCUCCAUUAUAAUCAUUAUCAAUGGUGGGUGUGCUACAGGUAGUUAUGGAAUUUUUGACACUUUAAGUAACGCCACUGAAGUUGGAUAGAUAAGUGGUCAAGUGCAAAUAUGACUUGACCCCAAAAAACUCCUAACAAAAGGUUUCCCAACAGUUUUUUAUAAUAUCAGAUAUCCUUGAUAACAUACUGAACGUUUACCAAAGUUUGACCACCAGAAAGGUGUCAUUUUCAAGAUGGCGUCCAUGAUGGGUAGGAAGCCCUGGCAGACACCCUAGGUGAAUAGGGUAAAAAUUUUAAGUAACAGAUAUCACCAUGAAACUUCCCAAGUGUAUAACUGACAUUAAGACAAGAAUUUUUUGUAUUACAAGUUUUUUUUAAAUGUUAUGUUUGAAUAUGUAAAUGAGGUAAUGGGGGGGGGGGGGUUAUACUGUCACCACCACUAAAAAUUCAAAUGUUCAAAGCAUGUUCAGAUACUUUGAAGGUAAACAGCAGGUCUCUUAAUAAUAAUUAAUAAUUAUAAAGUUAUAUCAAUCAAUCAAUCAGUGAAAUAAUGAGGACUCACCUAUUGGACUGAACUCAGAUUCUUCUCUGGUGAGUUCAAACUUGAGUUGGACUUGUUUGGUGAUUUAAUUACAGCUCAUCUCAUGAGAAGCUAUAUGCAACACAAAGCUUUGGGUCUUCAUGUACAGUAAUGAUUAUCAUUUCUCCCUUCUCCAGACAAAAACAACAUCAAAAGUAUAUUAAUUAGUCUGAGUCUGUAAGGCAUAAUCAGACUAAAUCUGUGUGUUUGUUGUCUGAGAGCUAAAAGCUACAACGUGGACACUGUGAGGAGUGUUUCUUCUCUAAACCAGUGAGCUUAUUUUAAUAUGGACACACUCAUACUUUGCCUUUCAUGAGCUCAUACUUGUGUCCAAUGUAAACUCUGUUUAAUCCUCUCACUGCUGUUGGUCCUGUCUGGUUCCUGUUGUGUCUUCUUAGUACUCAGUGGUUGGCUCAGGCGUUACAGCUCUCUUCCUGCAUGAGGCACACACUUCCUGUUUAUGCUUUGGAUUGCUAAGAAAGUGUGAUUUGCAUUCACUCAUUGGGGUUUUUGGUGCUGCAGUUUGAGGAAAUCUGGUCAUGCCUGAGGCCUCAAAAUGAGAGCAAAUUAAAGAAAAGUUGGAUAGCAUCAAAACAAGUGUUUUCACAGGCUUUUUUAACACAACAUGUUGAGUAUACUUUACAGGACAGACUCUUCUGACUGGUUUUAAGUGUCCGAUAUCGAACUGAGAAAACAAACAUGUGGUAACAGUGUGAUGAAUCAAGCGACAACUCCUGACCUCCGUGUGUUUUGGAAAUGUUUGCCUGGCUGACAAACAAUGGCUGGCACAUGGCCAGGCAGGAGGCUGCCAAACUGGCAACCCCUCCACCCCCCCUCCACCCUCCUCCCGCUCCUCCAUCAGUGUCCGACGCAGCGUGGCCAGCACACACAUCCUGCCUUUGUGGGCCAGGAAUGUCAAGAAUCCAGACUGCUACCCUCCCACCCCCCUGUGGCUGCCCAACAAGGUGCUCUCACCCCUCACUCCCACCUCUCAGCCACCGUCUCACCCCAGCAACUGCCCCACUUCAGGGUCCCCGUGGUUUUACAGCCUGCCGGCUGGGUGUCUAGGUAGCUGUGUGUGGUUUGAUGUUAUGCUUUCGCUUGUCACUUCAGUCUGGACCUACAACACCUGCUCUCAGGAAGUGAGUUGUGUCUUGUGGCUGCUUUGGUCUCUGCAACAAGUUUGAUGAGGUUUAGUUCAUCUUAAAUUAUCUUUUGAUGCAACUUUUAUAGAGCAAGAAGUAUUAAAGAGAUUUGAGACAUCAUAGCAAUAAAGUUCUUUUUGAAAGUCCACAAAACUUUUCAGACUGGCGUGACGAGAAGUCAAAUGCUUGUUAAUUCUUUAUGGGUUUAUACCAUAGACUCUUUAUCCUUCGGACAACUUGGUUCCACCUUCCAUCAGUAUACGGAUUUGAAGUCGAAAAGCUCUCAGUAAUUCAGCGUGAGAGUUGCCGAGAGUUGCUGUGAUGAUGCUCGGCUCAGACAGCGUAUCCCCCCCAAAUACAAGCAAAUCUUACAGGUCCUUGUAGGGUUAUUAUUAAGACCUUUUUGGUUUUUCUCUCAAAUCAUAAUAAAUAGAAACUUCAGAAGAGCAGCAAGAUUUGAAUUUAAAAAGAUAAAAAACUAUGGAAUGUAAAUCUGCAAGUUAUGGCAAUUGUUUUCUUGGGCAUCAUUUUAAGAUGGUGUUCUAGGGUCUGACUGGUCAAUAACCCAAUGACAACAGUGAUUAAUUCUUGAACAGCAAAAGCAACAGCAGGAACAACCUGAUCUACUUAGAUCCCAAAUAACGUGGCUAAAUAAUGCUGCUUUCGAGUUACCUCAGAAGUCAGAUGUCUGAGUUAGGAAUGACGCCACAUCUGAGUUACGAGCGUUUCAGUUACCAAGUCGAAAAAAAUCAAAAUCAACGAAAGUUAUUUCAGCGCUUGACUUUGACUUUUGUAGAUUACGUUGAGUUACCUUGGAAGUCAGAUGUCCGAGCUGGAAAUGACGUCACACCCAAGUUACCAGCGUUUCAGCUACCAAGUUGGAAAAAAGCAAAAUCUACAAAAGUUAUUUCAGCGCUUGAUGUAGCCAAUGGCAGCAGAGUUAAGGGAGAGCAUCUUUUCACUGCUGAUGUGCUAAAAUGAUAAAACUUAAACUCAGACUGGAAGUAGAUGUUUAAAAUGUCUGAAUAUCAUAAGACAACUUGGUUAUUCUGUUUACUUACUGUAUAUCCAUAAUCCUGUAGACUUUGAACUAUGAAUCAUAUAUAGAUAAAAGUUUUCUAGUUAAACCUGUACACAGACGUAUUCCCACGUUUGUCUCAUUUACAGUCUCAGUCGUUACAGCAUGUUUUUUCCACAGACUAAGGGAAGACCUUCAGCUGCUUUAUCAAAUGCACUAAAUUAUAUUUCCAUUUUUUUUAGGACAGCCAUGCCAACUCUUAAUAUGGGGACCUUCCUGCUCUUCAACAAAACACUCUCUACGUGCCCUUGGAUGACAAUGGGAAUGCAGCGUUUUUCCUACCAAUCAUGGGAACCUGUGGCGGGGCCGGAGUUUCCUGGACUUGGGCCCACUAGGAAAGAGAUGGAGGGAACACAAGAUGUCCUGAGCACUGUGUCCUAAAAACACUGCAGGGAUUUUCUCCAAAUCACCACUUCCCCUGAUGGAGCGGGAUUCCAAGGGGUUUCCAUUACUCCUGGCCCACCACUCUUGCAGAUAUUAACACCUGGCUUCUACAAUAUAAUAAAUAAAACUUCUGGGUUGGGCCAUGCAACAGAAAGAAUAGUUAAAUAUUAGGAUUUAAGGAUUUGUUUCUUGCAUAUCAAGGAUAUAAACCAACCAGCCAUAACUAGUCAUAAACUCCACCUCCAUCGUGUUGAUAGAUGAAACAUGGGUUUAACCGUUAAAGUGAAAUAACCAAAUAUUUAAUUGAAUGUUCUGUAUCAAAAACAUGUAUUUUGGCGUCGAAAAUAAAGUAAUAUCUAUCUAUCUAUCUAUCUAUCUAUCUAUCUAUCUAUCUAUCUAUCUAUCUAUCUAUCUAAUUUCCAUGACGAUCACAUGGCUCUUUCAAACACCACUCUUUCGCGUUAUGACACACACAAACAGCCUCCUCCUCCUC